rnacentral:rRNA from 1 species
AUUGAACGCUGGCGGCAUGCUUUACACAUGCAAGUCGAACGGCAGCGCGGGCUUCGGCCUGGCGGCGAGUGGCGAACGGGUGAGUAAUGCAUCGGAACGUGCCCAGGAGUGGGGGAUAGCCCGGCGAAAGCCGGAUUAAUACCGCAUACGACCUGAGGGGGAAAGCGGGGGACCGAAAGGCCUCGCGCUAUUGGAGCGGCCGAUGUCGGAUUAGCUAGUUGGUGGGGUAAAGGCUUACCAAGGCGACGAUCCGUAGCUGGUCUGAGAGGACGACCAGCCACACUGGGACUGAGACACGGCCCAGACUCCUACGGGAGGCAGCAGUGGGGAAUUUUGGACAAUGGGGGCAACCCUGAUCCAGCCAUGCCGCGUGCGAGAAGAAGGCCUUCGGGUUGUAAACCGCUUUUGUUCGGGAAGAAAUCCUCUGGGCUAAUACCCCGGGGGCAUGACGGUACCGGAAGAAUAAGCACCGGCUAACUACGUG